rnacentral:rRNA from 1 species
GACGAACGCUGGCGGCGUGCCUAAUACAUGCAAGUAGAACGCACAGUUUAUACCGUAGCUUGCUACACCAUAGACUGUGAGUUGCGAACGGGUGAGUAACGCGUAGGUAACCUGCCUAUUAGAGGGGGAUAACUAUUGGAAACGAUAGCUAAUACCGCAUAACAGUAUGUAACACAUGUUAGAUGCUUGAAAGAUGCAAUUGCAUCGCUAGUAGAUGGACCUGCGUUGUAUUAGCUAGUAGGUAGGGUAAAGGCCUACCUAGGCAACGAUACAUAGCCGACCUGAGAGGGUGAUCGGCCACACUGGGACUGAGACACGGCCCAGACUCCUACGGGAGGCAGCAGUAGGGAAUCUUCGGCAAUGGGGGGAACCCUGACCGAGCAACGCCGCGUGAGCGAAGAAGGUUUUCGGAUCGUAAAGCUCUGUUGUUAAGGAAGAACGAGUGUGAGAAUGGAAAGUUCAUACUGGACG